rnacentral:lncRNA from 14 species
CCUUCCCCUUCCACUCUGCGCCUUCCUUUGCUGGCCUUUUCUCCCCAUCUCCAGCCACCCCGCCCUGGGAGGCUGUGGCGCGUUCUGAUGACGCACAAAGGGAAAAGGAAGUCGAGAUCUGGGAGCGGGUGGGUGCGCCUCGGGCCGCGGGACUGCUGCUGCUACCGCCGCCGCUGCCUCCGCCGCCGCCUCUACGGCCGCGUCAGAACUGAAGAGAGGAAGGGGAGGAGCCCAGGCGAGCCUAAGCUACCGCCUAAUCUUACCCCUGACCCUAGGGCGCGGAGAGAGAGCUCCGUAGCCGUUCCCUCCGGGGCAGGUGCGAACUGCUCCUCUGGGAGUGAGGAGGAGGCCAGGGACCGGGCUAGGGCGCGCACCACCCGAAGAUUCUGGUCUGGGAAAUAAGUUUAAGAAAAAACUCAUGAAAUUUAAGCUAUGGUCCUCUAGUAAAAGAAUUUUCGAGAUAAAGAACCACAGUGUUCAGAAAUCUGUCUUGAACCUACCCUUCUUAGCGGUCUGACAGUGAGAUUAAAGCAGCAGCUAAGAUGAAGGGAAACCGUUGUGUGGCUGGACCUGCCUGCACCCCGUCCCUCUGGAAGCAACAGUGAUGGGAGAUUGGGCCAAACACACUCUGCACACAUUUAAGAAGCAAGCCUAGGUUUAUGCCACUGCUGUACCACCUCAUGCAACAUAGAUCAAGAAAAUGUCUAUGUUGAUAAAUCAAGGGUUCAUUUUUUUGUUCAGAGAUGACAAAAGCCAAAAAAAAAAAAAAAAAGUGAGUAAAGGAGAGAGGAGGAGGCCACAAAAGCAAGAAGAGGCAAGUUGCACCAGACCCUCUGUACUCUACCUGAAAUCCCAGGCGUCAAACAACUUGCCCUAAUUACCCUGGAUUUAAGUGUCUACAAACAUGAUCCAUUCGCAGGCUGUAUUCCAGUAAGAUUCACAGGGAAUCAGAUCAAUUCAACAAUAGCCCAACAUAGCUGCAACAUAAUCCUUUUGUUGAACUCUCCUCCUUACAGCAGAAAUUAAAUAAAAUACAGGUGCAGAGGAGUUUGGGGAAGCUGAGCUCCUCAGAGUUAAAGUUUGUGGACUUUGAGUGGAAAGAGUACAAACAUCAGAGCUCCACAACCAAGGAUGCUUCCGGAGAAGUGCACCAUGGGGAGUGUCAGAGUCGGAUCUGCCUCAUUGUCAGUGGCUCCAAUUUAGAACCUCAUCAGUGAGGGUCAGAAUGAGACUCACAGGAGCCCUGAGCAACCUCCUCAGGAAUAGUAGCUGCACUAACGCUCACUGAAAGUCCAUUCUCCUCCUUGCCCAGCCUGGUAACAGGAGUAAACAGCUGUCUACAACUGGCUGCUGGAGAGGAAGGAAUUCAUACAUCUCCAAUUUGUUGUAUAUCCUUUUAGUUCCUCAUAUUGUCUGAUAAUCUAGAGGAGAAAUAUAGCCGCUAAAUCAGAUUUCCAAAAAGUAAAUCAGAAAAAUGUAUUUCAACUAACCAGGUUCUUUCCUGACUUACGAGUUUGUCAUAAACAUCUAUAUACUAUGUUAAAGUGGGACAAGGAGAUCUCUGUGUAAGGUUCAUAACUCUUCCCUUGAAAGUGAGCUUGUAUAAGAAACUACUCAAUGUUUUAUUAUCCCACAUCAGUGGUUUCUACUGUUAAACACUAUAUAACAGAUUAACCGGCAAAAUUUCUAAAAACGCACCGUAGCACAUCAUCCAAUUUUAAGCAUCAUUGUGAAAUAGACUCAAAACAUAAGACAAUUGUGUGCUGUGGGUAAUUAUCAAAGAAACUACCAUGUAAGCAGUCAAACAGGCCAAUAAGUGGAGUUUGCUAAGCCUCCAAAGCCUGUAAUGACCUUCCUAAACACAGCUCUCCCUUCUGGGAGAGUAAGCAUUAUUCUGACAUUUGUGGCAAUUGUUUCCUUGCUUUUCUUUAUUGUUUUAUCACAGGUGUUCAUCCCUAAGCAUUAGGUUGUUUAAUUUUUCCCUUUCUUGUGAGUGUUCUGUAAAGGAGAUAAUAUGUAUAAUCUGUUCUGCUAACCAUAUUUGCUCAACCUUGAUGUAACCCAUAUGUUGUUCAGGUUCAUAUAGCUGUAAAUUUGUUCCCUUUAAUUCCUGAAUAUUCAGUAUUCCAUUGUAGCAAUAUAUAACAGUUUGUUUAGCCAUUUUGUUCUUGAUAGGAGUCUGGGUUCAGUUCCAGGCUACUAUAAAUGCUGUUGCAAAUAUUCCGUAAGUCUCUACUCCAUCCCAUCUAUAUAAAUUUCUGUGUAGUCUGUACUUGAGAGUGUAUGUCAUAAACAUGAAUAAAUCAUGCUUUGUGGUCGGUCGUCUAACAUGAUAGGGUCACAUUAGUUAGAGGAAUGCCAUUGCUCCACACCUCACGACCGAAGGCAAAAACUCCAUCUUCCCAUCCUGCUGAGUGUAGAGCAUAACUCAAUUCAAUUUUAACUUACAUUUCCCCAGUUAUUGACUCUGUUGAGGAUCUUUUGUAUAUCUACUAUUGUAUUAGGGUUCUUUCUACAGGAACAGAACUUCCAGAAAAGGGAUUCAUUAGAACAGCUUAUAGGCUAUGGCCCAGCUAGUCCAACAAAGGCUGACUACCAAAGAAAGGUCCGAGAAUCUAGUAAUUGUUCCGUCCAGAGACUGAAUGCCUCAGCUGGUUUUCAGUAUGUACUAGAAUGCCAAAUAAGUGGGCUCUAUUGCCAGUGAAGGAAUGGAUUCACCCAUACGAGCUAGAGCCAGCAUUCAAAGAGCAAGCUUCCUUCUUCCACUUGCUUUAUAUAGGCCACCAAUAGGAGGUGUGGCCCAGAUUAAAGGUAGGUCUUCCCGCAUCAGAAGAUCCAAUUAAAAGCAGGUCUUCCCACUUCAAAAAAUUUUUAAGAAAAUUUCCCUUACAGAUAUACCCAACUUCUUGGGUUUUAGUUAAUCCCAGUUGUAGUCAAGUUCACAACCAAGAAUAGCCAUCACAACUAUAUUGAUAGCAAUUACAUUCCUCUAUUUUUAAUGUGUAAUCUCUGAAAUGCCCACAAUUCCAGUGUCUUUUUUUUUUAAGAUUUAUGUAUAUCAGUACACUGUCCCUCUCUUUAGACACACCAGAAGAGGGCACUGGAUUCCAUUACAGAUGGUUGUGGGCCACCAUAUGGUUGCUGGGAAUUGAACUCAAGACCUCUAUAAGAGCACUCUGUGUUCUUAACCACUCAGCCAUCUCUCCAGUCCCUUGGGUGUCCUUUUGUAGUCUAUAUUUGAACACCAAGAUUGGGCUACAGUAAUGCCUCCAAAUGAGUAUAUUCAGGACAGAUUCUUUCUAAAAUAAGACUUUAGCCUAACUAAUUAUCUCUAUGAUUUGAUAAUAAACUGUUUAAAGUAGG